rnacentral:piRNA from 1 species
UGGGAAGUUCUAUAAACUGGGAUGUGUCC